rnacentral:rRNA from 1 species
UGGACUUGUGGGAUUCAGAGUGCCUUUGUUUUUCACAACCUGCUUUUUUUGGGUGUACUUUCUCGUAUUGUAGGUCAACAUCGGUUUCAACCGUUAUAAAAUGACUGGAGGAAUGUAGCUUCGAUCUCGUAUUGAAGUGUUAUAGCCUUUGGUAGAUGUAACGGGAGGGAUCGAGGAUUGCAAUGAAUACCCUCAUGGGCUAUCCGCCUGGCCUCUGACAUGUCACUAUGGUGCUGAAAGCGUGCUUAUGGUAUUAUAGUGUACGGUCAAAAGGUUAGAACGGAUUAAA